AAAACACCCACAAAUUCGCCCAAAAAACUGCAAUUCCCCAGCAAAUUCAACAUCCAAAAUCGCAAUCAAGUUCAACACCCAUAAUCGGCAGCAAAUCCGAGCAAUUUCGAGCAAAAAUUUAGACCAAAAACCCUAAGUAAUUCGAACCCUUAAACCCCAGAAAAAUUGAUUAUUUUCGACCAAAAAUCCCCCAUUUCAAGCAAAAAAUUUACUCAAUUCCAUACGAAUUCGAACCCUAAAAACCCCAAAAAAUUGAAUUAAAAAUCAUGCUGAAAAAGUUCGAGCAAUAACUGAAAUUUUCGAGUGGAAAAAUCGCUUAAUAUCGCCCCAAAAAACCCGAGGAAGUUCAAGCAAAUUACAGCAACAACAAUUGAAGUUCGAUUUCGGCUCGACAUUGUUGAAUUUUUGAAGUCAAUUUCACCUAUGGCAUCAUCAUAAUGGGCGAUGGGAAGCACGAAUUGGGCGCGUUUAUGAGAACAAGUACCUCUACUUAGGCACUUUCAGAUUUUUCAAGAACUACACCGUACACGGAGGAGGAGAUAAAUGAGAUUCGAGAUAUUUGGGCAGAGUAUUUUAUAUGUAUUGUUGAAUUUUAGAUUUACACUUAGUGCAUGUUGGACUCUUGUUUUGGAUUAAAGGCUUGAAAUGAAUGAAUUUGGUUAAUUGGUGUUGGGAUGAUGAGUAUAAUGUCUAUGAUAUUGAGAUGUAAAUUAUUGGACAGGUUGUUAAUAUAAUGCCGUCAUUCCCAAUUUUAUGGGUAGGCCAAAUUACAAA